rnacentral:lncRNA from 1 species
CUCUUUCCUGGCCCAGUCAGUCACCCCAAAGAAAAGCCACCUUUAUUUGGGCUUUGUGCCUCCUGCUCCUGGGUGGGAGGAAGAAGAAGGCAGAGAGCUAAAGAGCCAUGAAUAGAGAAGCGGGUGCAACGGAGGGUCUGGACAUUCUGCAGGUUCCUGGAUCCUCGGCCUGGAGCUCAGGCAGGGUAGCUCUGGGGCAGAAACAUACAACCCCAGCUGGUAACGUUCUGUCCUCUCUGGGCCCCCAGCCACUGGCUGGAGUGUGGGCUGACCUCUUCCCUUUCACAGAGGUGUGUCCAGAACCCUUGAAGAAAGCAACAGGUCAAGGGGGUAAAGCCGUGCUGGAAAGGAGGCCCUUCCUCACAGGAGACACAUCAGCCCCACCUCACCUGGAAGAAGGUCCACAGGAAAACAAGAAUCUCUAGGAGGCCUGGGGCAGAGGAGGGCAGGAGCCUGUCCAGAGGAAGGAGAGCAUUCUUGUUCUACAUUCACGGUGACCAGGCCAGCUCACCAUCAAAGGCCUUCGCAAUCCUCUCCUCUUUUUCCCCCUCCUUUCAAAAAAAUAAAAAAAUGGUGAGAGGAACAAUAAAAUCAGCAGAUGGCAGGGGAAUUAAUCCCAGGACUCUCACACAUGGAACAAUUUAAGGAGCCGGUAAAGCAGCACACACGAGAAAUGUUAUUUCUGAAUGGGACAAAGCACUCAACACUGCCAGGAUGAGUAGCCCCGUCCCCCGACAGCCCCCUGCCCUCGUGGCUGUUUACGGUAAAACUUCAUCACAAGAUGCUAUUAAGCUUGGCAGUUACUGUAAAUGCUACUGUCGCUGUUGACUUCCACAGCCCCAGGACAUUUUAUCCAAGACAGAGAGGCUUCCAGAGAGACCCAAACUGCCACUUGUUUCUCUUCAGAAAGUAGAAGAUGCCCUAGAGAGACAUGUGAGCCAUUCUUAGGCUGGGGGAUGUCGGCUCCCUCCCUCCCACUUUGUGGGCUGUAAGGACAAUAAUGAAGUCAGCGGGCUGGUGGGAAAGAUUCCAGGGCAGAAGGAAAAGCAGUUUGGCCCUUCUGAGAAAGGCCAGAGAGUCUCGUCCAACCACCUCCAUCUGUCUUCCCAGCCACCUUGAUGAAGGGAGAGAAAUAGCCUAUUCUGGGAUCUAUAAAUGAAAACUGGACUCAGGGCCAGUUCGAAUCAUUUGGGGUAGGGAGGUUACAGGACCCGUGCAUGCCUGAAUAAUUGCAACAAGACACAAGGAAAACACCUGAAACUGUCAGCCGCUUCACCACUUUCUCCUUCCCUUCCCCAAAGCAGCUACAACCUCUGGAUAUAAGCCACCCAGGGACUUGUUUAAAAUUCUCUGUGAUUAAUUCAUGGCAUUGUUCUUACUGUUAUCCGAAUUUGAGAGGGGAGAAGAGCUUUGGUGCCUUGCCCAACAUCCCGAAGCAAAGCCUUUUUCACUGCCACACCUCUGGUGUCUGAUGCCGUGCCCUACACACAGACCGUGUUCGCUGUGAGAGCCACAUGUGGAAAGUGCAGUGGGCUUUUCACGAGGAAACCCCGGGGUCAAAUCUCGGCUCCAUCAUUUGCUAGCUAUGUAACUCAGAAGCAUUUCAUUUCUCUGAGACCCAAUUUUCUCUUCUGUAAUUUGGGGAUAAUAAUACCUACAUUAUGAGGCCAUUGGGCAGAUUAAAUGAAAUAAAGAUGUUAAAGUGCUUAUCUCAGUGUCUGACACAUCAAUAAAUCUUGUUGAAUUUGAAUCUAAGAGAUCAAAUACUGACCUCGCCAAGCCCCUUAGAGAAAGGCCGCACCUCU